rnacentral:rRNA from 1 species
AUUGAACGCUGGCGGCAUGCCUUACACAUGCAAGUCGAACGGUAACAGGUCUUCGGAUGCUGACGAGUGGCGAACGGGUGAGUAAUACAUCGGAACGUGCCUGAUCGUGGGGGAUAACGCAGCGAAAGCUGCGCUAAUACCGCAUACGAUCUGAGGAUGAAAGCGGGGGACCGUAAGGCCUCGCGCGAUCGGAGCGGCCGAUGGCAGAUUAGGUAGUUGGUGGGGUAAAGGCCCACCAAGCCGACGAUCUGUAGCUGGUCUGAGAGGACGACCAGCCACACUGGGACUGAGGCACGGCCCAGACUCCUACGGGAGGCAGCAGUGGGGAAUUUUGGACAAUGGGCGAAAGCCUGAUCCAGCAAUGCCGCGUGCAGGAAGAAGGCCUUCGGGUUGUAAACUGCUUUUGUACGGAGCGAAAAGGUCCUUUCUAAUACAAGGGGCUCAUGACGGUACCGUAAGAAUAAGCACCGGCUAACUACGUGCCAGCAGCCGCCGUAACAC